UACGUAGGGUGCAAGCGUUAAUCGGAAUUACUGGGCGUAAAGCGUGCGCAGGCGGUUGUGCAAGACAGAUGUGAAAUCCCCGGGCUCAACCUGGGAUUGCAUUUGUGACUGCACGGCUAGAGUGUGUCAGAGGGGGGGUAGAAUUCCACGUGUAGCAGUGAAAUGCGUAGAGAUGUGGAGGAAUACCGAUGGCGAAGGCAGCCCCCUGGGAUAACACUGACGCUCAUGCACGAAAGCGUGGGGAGCAAACAGG
rnacentral:rRNA from 1 species